UAAAAUGCAGCAGGAGAGAGUUAACAGGAUGUCUGUUUCAUCUGCCAACAUGAUUUGUGCUACUCUUUUCAUGCUCCUAAUAACUGCAGGUGUGAAGUGUGAGCAGCUGACACAGCCAGCGUCUAUAACUCUGCAGCCAGGUCAGACUCUGACCAUCAGCUGUCAGGUCUCUUAUUCUGUUACUGGCUACUGGACCCACUGGAUCAGACAGCCUGCAGGAAAAGGACUGGAGUGGAUUGGUCAGGCAGCUGGAUCUUCAACAUACUACAAAGAUUCCCUCAGAAAUAAAUUUAGCAUUUCUACAGUUUCCUCCAGCAACACAGUGACUCUGAAUGGACAGAAUGUGCAACCUGGAGAUUCUGCUGUGUAUUACUGUGCAAGAGAGACACAGUGA